rnacentral:SRP_RNA from 1 species
GCCAGGCAUGGUGGUGCAUGCCUGUAAUCCCAGCUACUUGGGAGGCUGAGGCAUGAGAAUCACUUGAACCCAGGAGGCAGAGGUUGCGGUGAGCCUAGAUCAGACCACUGCACUCCAGCCUGGGCGACAGAGUGAGACCCUGUCUCAA